rnacentral:tRNA from 1 species
UCAGCUUUGGCGCAGUAGGUAGCGCAUCAGUCUUGCAAGCUGAAGGUCCCGAGGAGGGUAUGAUAUACUGAG